GCCACUUUAGAAUGUUUUUUUCCGAAGGAGGAGACAGAGCACACGCGAAGCUGCGAGGGAAUCGGGGACCCCGCACCCCGCAGGCGCACGGCGGGUUCCGGCCUCGGAUGAAACGCACACAGGACCCUGCUCUCUCCGGGACCUGCAGUCCCGCGCACAGAACGCAGCACUUCCCGGGAGAGCGCCUCGAAACUUCGUGAUCGGUUUUGCUCGGGGCUGAACAGCACGGGCAUUUGUGAAGUUCAAGUUUUUAGAAAAGCCAGCAGAGGCGAGGUCUCCACCGACGCAGAUCCAGGCGCAUCUAGGGUGGCCAGGGGUGGCCGCGCCCCAGAGGACGGGGACCCGCGCAGAGAGAAAGAAACGAGCCGGGCAAGAAGAUGAAAACCACAGCGAGGAGCAAGAGACUGAUUCUGCCUUAAGAUAGAGCGGCCUGUGUGAAUACUCCCACUGAUUGGCUGUCUCAGGAGGAAGUUGGCUUCCCCACCUACCUGUUGUCCUGUCUGGGAGCUUCUGUCCCAGCUUCCACUCUGGGCCAAGGCAGCUGCUGGGGAGGCUCUACUCCAAAACUCACUUGCUGCCUGGAGCUGAUGCCAACUGGUGGCUAACCUUGUGAAUUCAUUUCCUAAAGCCGACAGGACAGAAUCUUUAAGCUCACGGGGUUGGUAAGCCACAAACAGGCAGAAAUACUGACACAGUAAUCAACAAACGACAAGUGCUGGCGAGGAUAUGGAGAAAAAGGAACCCUCAUGCACUGCUGGUGGGA